rnacentral:misc_RNA from 2 species
AUUGCGCGGCGAAAAAACCUUACACACUAUGUUUUUUGUUAUUACAAGAACUAUUGCUUUGGUCUGUCUCUAGAAAUAGAGUUGGGCCAGAGGUUUAACUAAACUUCAAUUUUAUAUUGAAUUGUUUCUAAUUUAAAAUGUCAAUUUGUUGAUUAAUUUCAAAAAAUCUUCAAAACUUUCAACAACGGAUCUCUUGGUUCUCGCAUCGAUGAAGAACGCAGCGAAAUGCGAUAAGUAAUAUGAAUUGCAGAUUUUCGUGAAUCAUCGAAUCUUUGAACGCACAUUGCGCCCUCUGGUAUUCCAGAGGGCAUGCCUGUUUGAGCGUCAUUUCUCUCUCAAACCCUUGGGUUUGGUAUUGAGUGAUACUCUUAGUCGAACUAGGCGUUUGCUUGAAAUGUAUCGGCAUGAGUAGUACUGAAUAGUGCUUCAAGACUUUUUCAAUGUAUUAGGUUUAUCCAACUCGUUGAAUGGUUUAGUAGUAAAUUUUUGGUAUUAUUGGCUCGGCCUUACAAUACAACAAACAAGUUUGACCUCAAAUCAG